UUUUUCUGCUCUUGUACUUUGAACAUUUUUCACGCAACUACAGGAAAAUGAAGUCACCUUGUAAACCAGCCCCUGCUUUUUCAGAUGAUUGCCUGGCUUUGUUGGACAGGACUUCGUCUCAAGAGGAGGAUGCUUUCGCUUUCUCCAAAUUGGUCAUAUUUGAAGAGCAAUGAGAAAGUGUGAAAAGUGUGAAUAUACA